AAGAUUUAUUUUUUGAUAUAACAUGACUCCUAGUCGUAUCCUAUGCCAAAUAAUUAGCAUAGUACAAAAUACAAAUAUCUUUUUAAAUAUUACAAUUUAUCCUCCCUAUGUAGCCAAUAGUAGUAUCCUAUAUACCUAUGUUUAUACCCCCAUGGCACUAUUUAUGUCAUCCAAUGUCUUAAGUAUUACUAAUCCCUUCCCAAAAACACACCCAAAAUCUAUAUAAAUAAACUCAGGUAAAUUUUAUUAUUGGUCCUUGUAGUUUAGAAAAAGUUUUACUUUGAUUCUUGUAGUUCUAAUUUAACCAAUUUCAACCUUAUACUCUCCAAUCCAUGUUAACGUGGUUCCUCUAUUUACAUUCAUUAAAAAUGAUGAUGAAGAAUUCAAAAAAUACAAAAAAAUAUAAUAUUUUUUAUAUUUUUUAACAAAUUUCGAUGGAGGGACACGAUUCAACUGAUUGAGAAUUGUAAGGUUUUAAUUGUUCAACAAGUGUAGGAAUUAAAGUGAAACUUUAUCCAAACUACAGGGACCCAUGAUUGAAUUUACCAAUAAACUGUUUUACAAACAAAUUGUGGCAUGUUUAUCAUAAAUUCCAUCCUUCAUGUGAGAAAAAAAGGAUAUUACAAUCGCAGUAUUGAGUCAUUUUUAUCAUUGAAUCAGUUAAUGGGGGUCAAAUUGAAACAAUAGUUUUAUAAGGACUUUUAUACCAUCCCGUGCAACAUGUUGACAUCCACCAUGGAAACAAACAUGAAAGAAGGUUCUUCUUAAAAAGGUCAUAGUUCACACCUCUGAUUUUCUAAUUUUGAAACAUCAAACUUCUUGCAUUAAGAUUGGAACGCCUUCUUGGACGUUAAUGUGAACUUUUCAAUGUACUUCCAAAUGAUUUUGGAUCAAUAAUCAAAAUUUUGAAAAGUCUCUUUUGUUAUAAUAAUAGCAUUUUGGAUUGUAUUUGAAUUGGGAGAGGAAAAAAUAAAAUAAAAAUAGAAGUUAGAGGCCAGAUUCAACACCCAAGGAACGUUCGAUUCUUUAACUGUUUUGUUUUUCCCUUACGAAACUCUUGAUCCAAACACAACCUCAAGGUGGAAUUCAUGUGGUUGUGUUCCUACCAGUAGUGAUUCAAUCCAUCCAUCAAAAGAAGUAAAAUGAAUGGGAAGGAUCUAUAAGAUUGGGUAUUUAGAUGUAGGUGUGUUUAUAAGGAACAAUCAUCAAACAGAGUUGUCUUUGGAAGGGAGGAGCAGAAUCAGAGGCCCUGACCAAUGGGGCUUUGGAGAGAACCAAUACAAAAGCUUCACUCGGGACCGGGUGAUCUUAUUAGGAAAAUAAAACAAAUAUCCCGUGGGCAGAAAUGCAGAGAGAUUCAGAGAUUAGGGGUGUUCAUCGGAUGGGUUAGGUUUUGAAUAAAAUAAAUAAUCGAACCAAACUCUUAAGGUUUUUAAAAUUUUCAAACCAAUUUGAGCCACCCAAAACUUGGAAUUAAUCCAACUCGAACCUUCGGUUUGAAAUCACAAUUUUGGUUGAUAAAUUAUUAAGUUUGAUAAAUUUUCUAUAAAAAAAUCUCGUCACAUAUCCUCUAUAUAGCUAGACUACAACAUGACCACAUAAAUCUAGAUGUCCAUAAAUUAACAAAUGCACGAGUGAAAUAAAUUAAAAGAAUAUAUUAUGGUUAAAUCUUUAAUAUAUUAAUAUUAUUUGGUCCGGUUCGGUUUAUAAGCAGAACAGAUCACACAAAUCCGUAAAUGGAAUCGCCUAAGUUGGUUUUUAGAAUUUUGGAACCGAACAAACUCCUCAAACAUCGAACCAAACCUAUCGGGAACGGAGCAGACCCAUUUUUCAAUUCCACAGAAUUUCUGGACAGCCCUAAUAGAGAAUAUGGGCUGCCUCUUAUUCCAGACACGGUGGGCUGUACCUUACCAGAAAAGCCUUGGGCUUUGUUUGGAACUAAGGAAAUAAAUGGAAACUAAUUGUCCUCCUCUUGUUUGGUUAUUAGCUGAAAUAUUAAGUUUUGGUUGUGCAAACCAACACUCUUCAAAAAAUAAAUUCUUCAGAUUUUUAUGUCUUUUGUUACCUUUGUGGUGCACUGCUACAGAUUCUUGAAAUUUUUUAUUUUUUUAAAAAUUGGUGUUUAAAUAAUCUUUUGAUGUGAACCUAGGAUAUUCAAAUAUAAUCAUUUUCUCAUAAGAAUUUCUUGAAAAAUUCAAUUAGUGAGAGUACGAGGGACAAUCUUGUUAAUUUUUCUAAGAAUUGUACUAAAAUAAAUGAUAUACAAAUAAAAAAAUUAUUCAGAAAUUAUAUAUGCCCGUUUGGGAUAAAUUGUACCUUUAUUAAAUAGAAUGUUAUGGUUUUUAGUGAUUUUUUUUUAUCUUUAAUUCCGUCCAAAUUUUUUACUUUUCUGGUUCAUUUUUUUUUUUUGGUAGAGGAAUCAGAAAUAGAUUCUUUUUUGUUUUGUCUAAAAGGCUUACAAAAAGACUCUAAAAUCUAAAGAACUUUCAUAACGAUCCCAAAAAAAUCAUUAAAGAUAAAAAUAAUUCGCCUAAAAGUGUAGUUUAUCUCAAACGAGGAUAUGGCUAAAAGUAGACCAUUCUUUUUAAACCAAAACACUCGUAGAAAUGACUUUUAUUACUAAAACAUCAUUUGCCGUAUCGUUUUAAUAAAUUUUUUUAUGAGUUUUAUGUGAGAAUAUUAUUUUUUAGGUUUUAAUACAUUUUAAAGUCCAAACAAAUUAGUUUAACUUUUAAUGAGGUAAAUAACCUUACCUACCUUCACCUAAAGAGCUCACAUAAGAUGUGUCUACGUAACUCUUAUACUGUAUUGAGAUUAAGAAUUUAAUGAAAAAAAUAAAAAUAAAAAUAGACUAAUUAAACGAUUCAACCUUUCGAAACCAUUGGAUCUUCUAUCAUUUUUUUUUCUCACCAAACCCUCCAACCAAUCACAACCUUAAAUUAUUUCCUCAAGCUUCUAAUCCUUUUCAUCAUAGCUAGAUAGCUGGCAAGUUUUUGUACCUAAGCAAACAAUAAAUUAAUGGGUAUAUUCAAGUGAAUUUUGGAGUGUCCACUACUCAUAAAUCAUCAAACCCAAUGAUGUCCAAGCUUGAAAACAAGAAGGCACAAUAAAUUAAUGGUGACUUUAAGCCAUUUAAGUUGCAUAUAUGUGUGUGUAAAGAAUUUAUUGUUGAAUUAGAAGAAUUUUAGGGUACUUUUGUAUAAUAAAGCUCAAGAAACACGAUUCUUCUUCCAAAAAUGGUAAAAAUGAUUGAAAUUAUAGCUAGAGGCAAUAAUAUGUGGCCGUCGCUAGAAAGAAAAAUGGAAAUAUAGCUAAUCAUUUUGCCCCACUUUAUAGUUGUAAAGGUGCUACUAGAAUAGAGUCACACUUUGAUUGUAAUGCAAUGUUUAUUUUUUUUCAUAGACGAAUUUACUGAGAUGAGAAGUGACUUGUUCAGUCUUAGUUUACAAACUUAGCGAGAUUUAAAAUUUAUUCAAAUUUAAUUUGUUUAGAUAAUAAAUAGAUUUCAAACAAACUUUUUUAACAAUGAUAGUUGAUGCUAUAUUUAAUAUAAAUGGUGAAUACCAUCAUAUAUUAAGAGAUAUAAUAAAAAAUGACCUUAUUCAACCUAAGUAUGCAGGUUUUGUAGCGAUAAUUCCUAUAAUUAUACUUAUUGAGAUUAUCAAUUUAAAUUUUAUCAAGUGUUCUUAUACCAAAACUCUAAAAAUAAACAUACAUGGUUCAUUAAAUUACGAUUCUAGAUGAAAUAGUUUAACAUAACACUCCUGAAAAAGUGUGCAUCAGGCAUGUGCAGCCCAUAUGAGUUGUGAAGCAUGGGUUAUGUCAGUAUUUGUGACGCAUGGAGGUUGUGAGGUCCACAAGUGGGUCUUGCUGCCAUGAUUAAAAAAAAUUCUAAGUUAGGUCCAACCCAUUCAAAAGUACUUUUCACCAUGCUUCGCAUAAUAAAAUCACCAUAUCAGCUUUCUUCUCAUUGGUUCAUAGAGUAAAUUACAUUUUUUACCCUUGUAUUUUUUACAAAAAUCCCAUUUCGUACUCCGUAUAAUUUAAGGUCAAUUGUUAACAUGGCUCUUUUGUCCAUACUUUAUUUAAUUGAGUAAUGAAAAGAGGUUGCACAUUAACACUUAAUAGGAAGGGUAUAAAGUGUAAUUAUAGUAAAGUGUAGGGGUGCAAACUGUACUUAGUUUACCCUAGUUUAUACCCACAAACAGCGAUUUUUGAAGUUAAAUUGAUUGGCAAGUUGGGUUUCUAUUGGAAAUAUUAUUCAUCACUUCUGAAAAAAAUGUUUCAAAAAUCUCUUAAAACAUUGUACUACCAACUAUAUGAACCCUGCACAAAUAUAUAAUUAUAAAAACAUUGAACAAUGUUUUAGGAAUUUCUAAACACAAGAGGAUUUUGAAAAUGUAAAAAUUAUUUAAAUUUAAAAAAAAUAUUAAAAAUAAAAAAAAUUGAUUAAUUUGUCGAGUAAAAAUAAUUUUUUUAUCUUAAGUAAAAAAAAAAUCAAAUUAGAUAAAAAAAAUAUUUUUUGACUUCUCUCGUUAAAAUAAAUCAAAAAAAAAUAAAACUUUGAUAGAAUGAUUAAAUUUAUUAUCCUUAAAACGAAAAAAGUUAUAAACAAAGACAAUUAAAACUCUUAAAUAAAUAAUAAAAAAAAUAGGCCAAGCUAUGCCUCGAUAAGUUCUACUUGAAUUUAGCAACAUGGUGAGCCCGCAAUAGUAACGUGCAAUCUGAGUAGAGCACAUCAAUUGCUUUCGAGUUUGAUUUCAACUUAUGAAACCAUUUUUAUAUUCCCUACUCACCAAGCACUCAACAUUCAGAACUAUUAGAUAACUAGUAAUUGUUGUUUCCAUAAGAAUUACAUUAAAAAAGAAAUCACAUUUCAAGUGUAUUAAGAGAUAUAUUGCUACAAAAUAGAGAAUAAAUUAUAAAAUAUAAUAAUUUUAAAAAAGUGUUGUUAGUUUGAAAAAAAUGAGAGAGAAAAAAUAUAUUUUUUAAUUUAUUUU
rnacentral:lncRNA from 1 species